GACCUCGCACAGGCUGACACGCCAGCUCCGCUCCGGGGCGCACCCUUCCGCGCCGGGAAAUGUGGAGCCGCGGGCUUGCGUGGGGGCUGGGGUCUAACCUGCUCCCUAGCUGGCGGUGGAGCUGGCUGGCUCAUGUUGGCCGCGGAGAGUUCCACUAGCAAAGCACGCUCCAGGGAAAGUUAGUCGGUUUGGCCACUUAAGGCCUGGACCGAGGACACUGCUGAAGAUCACACUCCUAGGUCUAAGUAGCUCUCCUGUCUUAUUAAGGGACCUUGUCUGAAAAUCAUGGAGGAGGAAACCAAGAGACUGUUACCACCCUACUCCCAACUACCUUGAUAAGACUGAAAUGUUUUUAUCAUUUGUCUACUUUCUGGAGAGAUUUCAAGGAAUCAAUGCAACGGAAGUGGAGUAAGGGCAGAGGGCGGAGAUGGAGCUCAACUAGUUCAUGGUCUCAACUUACUGAACCAAGUCCUUGUAAAAGAAACCAAACCUUUUAAUGUCACGGGCCAUGUCUGGCACAGACCUGAAAGCUAUCUGCAAGUAGAGUAUUCCCAUGAGACCUUUCAUAAGCUGAAGUGGCGUAAAGCAGAGAUCCUCAGCUUUCCCAAAGUUCGCAUCAGUACCUAUUUUCAGUAACUGAAAGAAAUCUGGAGAAUUUUUGCUUUUAUGGAAAAAGUCAUUACCGUACUAAUAAUGUAGGUCUUUCGUAUAAGUGAAAUGUUGCAUAACAUGAAACUUUCAGAAAGUGGGGGAUAACCAUCUCCCCAAAUAUUGUACCUCACCUCCCUAAAGCAAAUAGGAAAAAAAACAAAAAACCUGCAAGUUUCCAAAAAUAAAAAGGCCUGCUAGUCACUGAAAUCCAGCAGAUGACAGAAACUGCUGUUUACCGCUGCAACGCUUGAAGGACAUAGGAACAAACUUUCUGAAAUUGACGAGCAGAGGAAAGGGAGAAAUGAGAUAUAAAAUCUCCCUUUUGACCAGAAACAAUUUCUUUCACACUUAUGAGACAAGAGCCAAUUCUCCAGGUCUGCACAGAAGAAAACAUCUAUACCUAGAAAAGAAAGGGUUAAGAACCAAGAUAUCAAAC